rnacentral:pre_miRNA from 1 species
AGUAGAAUAACUGGAUCAUAUGGUAGUUCUAUUUUCAGUUUUUGAGGAACUUUCAGACUGUUCUCCAGAAUGGCUAUAGUAAUUUACAUUCCCACCAGUGU